rnacentral:lncRNA from 1 species
UUCUCUCACUAUCUUUUUCCCCCAGGGUAAUAGGAAUAGAAUGAAAUUUUGUUUCUCUGCAGAUUAAUUUUGUUUCACUGAAACUCUCACUAUCUUUUUCCGAGAUUUUUUCUUUUAUUUAUUUAUUUAUUUAUUUCGUUUUCCGUUUUUUUUUCAAAACACGCGGGCUUCGCCUAGCGAGCAUGACAGCUCAUGAACAAACCUUUGCUCUUU